rnacentral:rRNA from 1 species
GACGAACGCUGGCGGCGUGCCUAAUACAUGCAAGUCGAGCGAAGUUUUUCUGGUGCUUGCACUAGAAAAACUUAGCGGCGAACGGGUGAGUAACACGUAAAGAACCUGCCUCAUAGACUGGGACAACUAUUGGAAACGAUAGCUAAUACCGGAUAACAGUAUUUCUCGCAUGAGAGAUAUUUAAAAGUUGGUUAUGCUAACACUAUGAGAUGGCUUUGCGGUGCAUUAGCUAGUUGGUGGGGUAAAGGCCCACCAAGGCGACGAUGCAUAGCCGACCUGAGAGGGUGAUCGGCCACACUGGGACUGAGACACGGCCCAGACUCCUACGGGAGGCAGCAGUAGGGAAUCCUCCGCAAUGGGCGAAAGCCUGACGGAGCAACGCCGCGUGAGUGAAGAAGGAUUUCGGUUCGUAAAGCUCUGUUGUUAGGGAAGAAUGGAUAUGUAGUAACUAUACAUGUAAGAGACGGUACCUAACCAGAAAGCCACGGCUAACUACGUG